GACGAACGCUGGCGGCGUGCCUAAUACAUGCAAGUUGAGCGAUCAAGCUUGGUGCUUGCACCAAUUUGAAGAGCAGCGAACGGGUGAGUAACGCGUGGGUAAUCUGCCUUUGAGCGUGGGACAACAUUUGGAAACGAAUGCUAAUACCGCAUAAUAACUUUAAACAUAAGUUUUAAGAUUGAAAGAUGCAAUUGCAUCACUCAAAGAUGAUCCCGCGUUGUAUUAGCUAGUUGGUGAGGUAAAGGCUCACCAAGGCGAUGAUACAUAGCCGACCUGAGAGGGUGAUACGCCAAAUUGGGACUGAGACACGGCCCAAACUCCUACGGGAGGCAGCAGUAGGGAAUCUUCGGGCAUGGACGAAAGGCUGACCGAGCAAAGCCGCGUGAGUGAAGAAGGUUUUCGGAUCGUAAAAAUCUGUUGGUAGAGAAGAACGUUGGUGGGAGUGGAAAGCUCACCAAGUGACGGUAACUAACCAGAAAGGGACGGCUAACUACGUG
rnacentral:rRNA from 1 species